AACGAACGCUGGCGGCGCGCUUAACACAUGCAAGUCGAACGAGAAGGCGUAGCAAUACGCUUGUACAGUGGCGAACGGGUGAGGAAUACAUGGGUAACCUACCCUCGAGUGGGGGAUAACCCGCCGAAAGGCGGGCUAAUACCGCGUACGCUUCCGAUCUUGCGGGAUUGGAAGGAAAGCUGUCCCUUGGGGAUGGCGCUCAAGGAUGGGCUCAUGUCCUAUCAGCUUGUUGGAGGGUAACGGCCUACCAAGGCAUCGACGGGUAGCUGGUCUGAGAGGACGACCAGCCACACUGGCACUGCGACACGGGCCAGACUCCUACGGGAGGCAGCAGUGAGGAAUAUUGCGCAAUGGGCGAAAGCCUGACGCAGCGACGCCGCGUGGGGGAUGAAGGUCUUCGGAUUGUAACCCCUUUCGGGAGGGAAGACGGCCUUAGACAACUAAGGCGGACCGGUACCUCCAGAAGCAGCCACGGCUAACUUCGUGCCAGCAGCCGCGGUAA
rnacentral:rRNA from 1 species